UCCGAGUUGACCCCGGCAGUCUCCUAUGAGUCCCCGGCAUAACCCGCUGGCAACAUAGGACGAGGGUUGCGCUCGUUGCGGGACUUAACCCAACAUCUCACGACACGAGCUGACGACAACCAUGCACCACCUGUGAAGGGCCCUUGCGGACCUCACAUCUCUGUGAGAUUCCCCUCCAUGUCAAGCCUUGGUAAGGUUCUUCGCGUUGCAUCGAAUUAAGCAACAUGCUCCACCGCUUGUGUGAGCCCCCGUCAAUUUCUUUGAGUUUUAACCUUGCGGCCGUACUCCCCAGGCGGGGUGCUUAAUGCGUUAGCUGCGGCACGGAGCGGGUUGAAGACCGCCCCACACCUAGCACCCAACGUUUACGGCUGGGACUAC
rnacentral:misc_RNA from 1 species